rnacentral:rRNA from 1 species
AGCGAACGCUGGCGGCAGGCCUAACACAUGCAAGUCGAACGAACCUUUCGGGGUUAGUGGCGGACGGGUGAGUAAGACGUGGGAACGUGCCCUUAGGUUCGGUAUAACUCAGGGAGACUUGUGCUAAUACCGAAUGUGCCAAUAGGGGGAAUGAUCAGUUGCCUUUAGAGCGGCCUGCGUAAGAUUAGCUAGUUGGUUGGGGUAAUGGCACACCAAGGCGACGAUCAGUAGCUGGUGUGUGAGGAGGAUUUGCCACGUUGGGGCUGAGACACGGCCCAAACUCCUACGGGAGGCAGCAGUGGAGAAUCUUGCGCAAGGGGCGAAGGCCUGACGCAGCCGUGCCGCGGAAAUGAUGCAGGUCGUAGGAUUGUAAAAUUCUUUCACCGGGGGCGAGAAUGACGGUACCCGGAGAAGAAGCCCCGGCUAACUACGUG